rnacentral:rRNA from 1 species
GAUGAACGCUGGCGGCGUGCCUAAUACAUGCAAGUCGAGGGGCAGCGCAGUGUAGCAAUACAUGGGCGGCGACCGGCAAACGGGUGCGGAACACGUACGCAACCUUCCUUUAACUGGGAGAUAGCCCACCGAAAGGUGGAUUAAUAUCCCAUAGUAUAUUUGAAUGGCAUCAUUUAGAUAUUAAAGCUCCGGCGGUUAAAGAUGGGCGUGCGUCUGAUUAGGUAGUUGGCGGGGUAACGGCCCACCAAGCCCACGAUCAGUAGCUGCUGUGAGAGCAUGAUCAGCCACACGGGCACUGAGACACGGGCCCGACUCCUACGGGAGGCAGCAGUAAGGAAUAUUGGUCAAUGGACGCAAGUCUGAACCAGCCAUGCCGCGUGGAGGAUGAAGGCCCUCUGGGUUGUAAACUUCUUUUCUUUGGGACGAAACUCCUGUUUCUACGGGGACUGACGGUACCAGAGGAAUAAGCACCGGCUAACUCCGUGCCAGCCGCCGCGGUAA